rnacentral:rRNA from 1 species
GACGAAUGGGGCUAGCGUUGUUCGGAAUUACUGGGCGUAAAGCGAGUGUAGGCGGUUGCCCAAGUCAGGUGUGAAAGCCUUGAGCUCAACUCAAGAAAUGCACUUGGUACUGGGUGGCUAGAGGACCGGAGAGGAUAGUGGAAUUCCCAGUGUAGUGGUGAAAUACGUAGAGAUUGGGAAGAACACCAGUGGCGAAGGCGGCUAUCUGGACGGUUACUGACGCUAAGACUCGAAAGCGUGGGGAGCAAACAGG